rnacentral:tRNA from 1 species
GCGGACGUAACUCAGUUGGUAGAGUGUCAGCCUUCCAAGCUGAAUGUCGAGGGUUCGAACCCCUUCGUCCGCUCCA